GAUGAACGCUGGCGGCGUGCCUAAUACAUGCAAGUCGAGCGAAGCGGGGACGGGUGAGUAACACGUGGAUAACCUCCUAUAAGACUGGGAUAACUUCGGGAAACCGGAGCUAAACCGGAAACUUAUAGAUGGAUCCGCGCUGCAUUAGCUAGUGGGUAAGGGAACGGCUUACCAAGGCAACGAUGCAUAGCAGACCUGAGAGGAUGAUCGGCCACACUGGAACUGAGACACGGUCCAGACUCCUACGGGAGGCAGCAGUGGGGAAUCUUCCGCAAUGGGCGAAAGCCUGACGCAGCAAUGCCGCGUGUGUGAUGAAGGUCUUCGGAUCGUAAAGCACUGUUAUUAGGGAAGCGGUACCUAAUGAGAAAGCAACGGCUAACUACGUGCCAGCAGCCGCGGUAAUAC
rnacentral:rRNA from 1 species